AUGACAGUCAUCGAUUGUUAUCCCUAUUUCUCCGUCAUCGAUCAAAAUCGCGGCUUCCCCUUCAUCGAUCGAAAUUUCUACUUCUCUUUCACCGUUGGAAAUCUCUGCUUCAACGUUCUCUUCGUUGGAAAUCGCUGCUUCAACUUUCGAAUUAGUUACUUUACCAUUCGAAAUCGCUCACGGAUUUCUCAAAACCUAAUACUUGAGAUCCUUGUUGCGGAAUCUCUUUCCGAUCUUCGCUACGGUACAUUUUCUCCGAUUGAUUUUAAGAUAUCUUAA